rnacentral:rRNA from 1 species
UACGUAGGAGGCAAGCGUUGUCCGGAAUUACUGGGUGUAAAGCGCGUGUAGGCGGCAGGCCAAGUCUGUGGUGAAAUCCGCUCGGCUCAACUGGGCGGGGUCCAUGGAAACUGGUCGGCUGGAGGACGGUAGAGGUGAGUGGAAUUCCCGGUGUAGUGGUGAAAUGCGUAGAGAUCGGGAGGAACACCCGUGGCGAAGGCGGCUCACUGGGCCGGUCCUGACGCUGAGACGCGCA